CCUACGGGUGGCAGCAGUGUGGAAUAUUGGGCAAUGGGCGCAAGCCUGACCCAGCAACGCCGCGUGAAGGAAGAAGGCUUUCGGGUUGUAAACUUCUUUUGUCAGGGAAGAGUAGAAGACGGUACCUGACGAAUAAGCCACGGCUAACUACGUGCCAGCAGCAGCGGCAAUACGUAGGUGGCAAGCGUUGUCCGGAUUUACUGGGUGUAAAGGGCGUGUAGCCGGGUUGACAAGUCAGAUGUGAAAUCCUGCGGCUUAACCGCAGAACUGCAUUUGAAACUGUUGAUCUAGAGUACUGGAGAGGCAGAUGGAAUUCCUAGUGUAGCGGUGAAAUGCGUAGAUAUUAGGAAGAACACCAGUGGCGAAGGCGGUCUGCUGGACAGCAACUGACGGUGAGGCGCGAAAGCGUGGGGAGCAAACAGGAUUAGAUACCCUUGUAGUC
rnacentral:rRNA from 1 species